AGAGUUUGAUCCUGGCUCAGGACGAACGCUGGCGGCGUGCUUAACACAUGCAAGUCGAACGAGAAUCACUGGAAGGAGUUUUCGGACAACGGAAGGUGAGGACAGUGGCGGACGGGUGAGUAACGCGUGAGGAACCUGCCUUUCAGAGGGGGACAACAGUUGGAAACGACUGCUAAUACCGCAUGACACAUAGAGAUCGCAUGGUUUUUAUGUCAAAGAUUUAUCGCUGAAAGAUGGCCUCGCGUCUGAUUAGCUAGUUGGUGAGGUAACGGCCCACCAAGGCGACGAUCAGUAGGGGUUCUGAGAGGAAGGUCCCCCACAUUGGAACUGAGACACGGUCCAAACUCCUACGGGAGGCAACA
rnacentral:rRNA from 1 species